GACGAACGCUGGCGGCGUGCUUAACACAUGCAAGUCGAACGGAAAGGCCCUGCUUUUGUGGGGUGCUCGAGUGGCGAACGGGUGAGUAACACGUGAGUAACCUGCCCUUGACUUUGGGAUAACUUCAGGAAACUGGGGCUCAUACCGGAUAGGAGCUCCUGCUGCAUGGUGGGGGUUGGAAAGUUUCGGCGGUUGGGGAUGGACUCGCGGCUUAUCAGCUUGUUGGUGGGGUAGUGGCUUACCAAGGCUUUGACGGGUAGCCGGCCUGAGAGGGUGACCGGCCACAUUGGGACUGAGAGACGGCGCAGACUCCUACGGGAGGCAGCAGUGGGGAAUAUUGCACAAUGGGCGGAAGCCUGAUGCAGCAACGCCGCGUGCGGGAUGACGGCCUUCGGGUUGUAAACCGCUUUCGCCUGUGACGAAGCGUGAGUGACGGUAAUGGGUAAAGAAGCACCGGCUAACUACGUG
rnacentral:rRNA from 1 species